rnacentral:rRNA from 1 species
CAGUCGCCACGGUAAUACGUAGGGCGCAAGCGUUAUCCGGAAUUAUUGGGCGUAAAGAGCUCGUAGGCGGUUUGUCGCGUCUGCCGUGAAAGUCCGGGGCUCAACCCCGGAUCUGCGGUGGGUACGGGCAGACUAGAGUGAUGUAGGGGAGACUGGAAUUCCUGGUGUAGCGGUGAAAUGCGCAGAUAUCAGGAGGAACACCGAUGGCGAAGGCAGGUCUCUGGGCAUUAACUGACGCUGAGGAGCGAAAGCAUGGGGAGCGAACAGGAUUAGAUACCCCUGUAGUCCCUGUCUCUUAUAC